rnacentral:rRNA from 1 species
UGAGCGGCGAACGGGUGAGUAACGCGUGAGCAAUCUACCUUAGUUACUGGGAUAGCCCGAGGAAACUCGGAUUAAUACCGGAUAAUCUUAUUACAUCACAUGAUAUUUUAAGUAAAGGUCAGCCGAACUAAGAUGAGCUCGCGUUCUAUCAGCUUGUUGGUGGGGUAAAAGCCUACCAAGGCUACGACGGAUAGCUGGUCUGAGAGGACGAUCAGCCACACUGGGACUGAGACACGGCCCAGACUCCUACGGGAGGCUGCAGCAGGGAAUAUUGCGCAAUGAGCGAAAGCUUGACGCAGCGACACCGCGUGUGGGAUGACGGUUCUAGGAUUGUAAACCACUUUCAGGAGGGAAGAAAAUGACGGUACCUCCACAAGAAGCCCCGGCCAACUACGUGCCAGCAGCCGCGGUAAUACGUAGGGGGCGAGCGUUGUCCGGAUUUAUUGGGCGUAAAGAGCUCGUAGGCGGUUCAACAAGUCGGUCGUGAAAGUUCAGGGCUCAACCCUGAAAUGUCGAUCGAUACUGUUGUGACUAGGAUAUGGUAGAGGUGAGUGGAAUUCCGAGUGUAGCGGUGAAAUGCGUAGAUAUUCGGAGGAACACCAAUAGCGAAGGCAGCUCACUGGGCCGCUAUCGACGCUGAGGAGCGAAAGCUAGGGGAGCAAACAGGAUUAGAUACCCUGGUAGUCCUAGCUGUAAACGAUGGAUACUAGAUGUAGGAAUUGGAUUGACGAUUUCUGUAUCGUAGCUAACGCGUUAAGUAUCCCGCCUGGGGAGUACGGUCGCAAGACUAAAACUCAAAGGAAUUGACGG